rnacentral:rRNA from 1 species
UACGUAGGGUGCGAGCGUUUGUCCGGAAUUACUGGGCGUAAAGAGCUCGUAGGUGGUUUGUCGCGUUGUUCGUGAAAACUCACAGCUUAACUGUGGGCGUGCGGGCGAUACGGGCAGACUGGAGUACUGCAGGGGAGACUGGAAUUCCUGGUGUAGCGGUGAAAUGACGCAGAUAUCAGGAGGAACACCGGUGGCGAAGGCGGGUCUCUGGGCAACUACUGACGCUGGAGGAGCGAAAAGCCGUGGGGAGCGAAACAGGG